CCUACGGGAGGCAGCAGUGAGGAAUAUUGGUCAAUGGCCGGAAGGCUGAACCAGCCAAGCCGCGUGAAGGACGAAGGUGCCAAGCAUUGUAAACUUCUUUUGUCAAGGGACAAAAUCAGGCUCGAGAACCUGACCGAGGGUACUUGAAGAAAAAGCAUCGGCUAACUCCGUCACAGCAGCCGCGGUAAUACGGAGGAUGCGAGCGUUAUACGGAUUUAUUGGGUUGAAGGGAUGGGUAGGCGGACUGUUCAGUCAGCGGUAAAAGCCAGGGGCUCAACCCCGGCGAGCCGUUGAAGCUGGCUGUCUUGAGAUGUCGAGAGGUAUGCGGAAUGCGAAGUGUAGCGGUGAAAUGCUUAGAGAUUGCGCAGAACUCCGAUUGCGAAGGCAGCAUAGCGGCGGCGAUCUAACGCUGAGGAACGAAAGCGUGGGUAUCGAACAGGAUUAGAUACCACAGUAGGC
rnacentral:rRNA from 1 species